UACGAAGGGGGCUAGCGUUGUUCGGAAUUACUGGGCGUAAAGCGCACGUAGGCGGAUACUUAAGUCAGGGGUGAAAUCCCGGGGCUCAACCCCGGAACUGCCUUUGAUACUGGGUAUCUCGAGUCCGGAAGAGGUGAGUGGAAUUCCGAGUGUAGAGGUGAAAUUCGUAGAUAUUCGGAGGAACACCAGUGGCGAAGGCGGCUCACUGGUCCGGUUCUGACGCUGAAGCGCGAAAGCGUGGGGAGCAAACGGG
rnacentral:rRNA from 1 species